AACGAACGCUGGCGGCAUGCCUAACACAUGCAAGUCGAACGAGACCUUCGGGUCUAGUGGCGCACGGGUGCGUAACGCGUGGGAACCUGCCCUUAGGUUCGGAAUAACUCCCCGAAAGGGGUGCUAAUACCGGAUAAUGUCUUCGGACCAAAGAUUUAUCGCUUUUGGAUGGGCCCGCGUUGGAUUAGCUAGUUGGUAGGGUAAAAGCCUACCAAGGCGACGAUCCAUAGCUGGUCUGAGAGGAUGAUCAGCCACACUGGGACUGAGACACGGCCCAGACUCCUACGGGAGGCAGCAGUGGGGAAUAUUGGACAAUGAGCGAAAGCCUGAUCCAGCAAUGCCGCGUGAGUGAUGAAGGCCUUAGGGUUGUAAAGCUCUUUUACCCGGGAUGAUAAUGACAGUACCGGGAGAAUAAGCCCCGGCUAACUCCGUG
rnacentral:rRNA from 1 species